AGCUGGACUAAAUAAAAAGAUAUAUAUUUCCUGUUGAUGUGUCUACUUGCAGGUCAAACCAUGGAGUUCGGUUCAUUACAGUAAUAAAUUGUAUAUCUGGAAUUCAAAUGACCUUUUUCCUCUUCUAAGGUGUGAUAUUUCAGUAGGUCAAAUUCAGGCUAAUCAUCAUCAGUACUAAAAGUGGUCUCAUAAUUGAACGAGAGUGAUGACCAUAUAAUAGCAGGGUUAUCGUCCUUUAUGUAAUUUCUGUAUAAAAGCAUGGAUAGGUAUAAGGCGUGAGACGGACCAGCUGAAGACUGCUGUUUAGUGGUAUGGAAUAUACCUUGAGUUAGGUUCUGCCAUUAUGUAACUUUCAAAUAUCUUGAAAAGCAGGCUUUCUUGCACUAAAUGUCUGUUUCGUUAUUAUGACAUAGAAAGGCGAGAAUUCGUCUUUGAUCAUUCCUGUUAAAAAUGAUGUUUGCUAUACAGCAGGGGUGGCCAACCUGCCUCGCCCGAGGUCGACUGAUUGGUAGGUAAUAAGGUAAUGCGCAUAAACGAAUGGGUAUUGAAUAUGCAGAUAACUGCACACACGCAUACAAAAAUUGACCACUCGACUCUGUAUGCGCAUUCUUAAUAAAAUCGCCACAAAUUCGUGUUUCCCACGUUUCAUUGAAUUUGAUUAUGUAAUUGUAGCGGAGAAAAUAUUUCAUCGUUUAUUUAAUAAGAUUCAGGUCUAAAACCUGCCUAGUUUUCAAGUGUUUGGAUUUUCUCAAAAAACAUUGCCAAGUAUAAAUGUUACACGACUGCUUAACCUUCAGUAUAAAAUUUGCAAUUUUCUUAGAUCGCAUUCUAAUGCCACUGCUGCUGUUGCAAAUAAUAAAUAUCGGACUACUCUUGA